GGAUGCGAUCAUACCAACACUAAAGCACCGAAUCCCAACAGAACUUCGAAGUUAAGCGUGCUUGGGCGAGAGUAGUACAAGGAUGGGUGACCUCCUGGGAAGUCCUCGUGUUGCAUUCC
rnacentral:rRNA from 1 species